rnacentral:rRNA from 1 species
UACGUAGGAUGCAAGCGUUGUCCGGAUUUAUUGGGCGUAAAGAGUUCGUAGGUGGUGAAUUAAGUCUGAUGUUAAAGCCCGAAGCUCAACUUUCGGCAUGGCAUUGGAAACUGGCUCGCUAGAGUGCGGCAGAGGUAAGGGGAAUUCCCGGUGUAGCGGUGAAAUGCGUAGAUAUCUGGAGGAACACCGGUGGCGAAGGCGGCAUCCUGGACCAACACUGACACUGAGGAGCGAAAGCCAGGGGAGCAAACGGGG